AUUGAACGCUGGCGGCAUGCUUUACACAUGCAAGUCGAACGGUAACAGGCCGCAAGGUGCUGACGAGUGGCGAACGGGUGAGUAAUGCAUCGGAACGUGCCCAGUCGUGGGGGAUAACGCAGCGAAAGCUGCGCUAAUACCGCAUACGAUCUCUGGAUGAAAGCGGGGGACCGAAAGGCCUCGCGCGAUUGGAGCGGCCGAUGUCAGAUUGGGUAGUUGGUGGGGUAAAGGCUCACCAAGCCAACGAUCUGUAGCUGGUCUGAGAGGACGACCAGCCACACUGGGACUGAGACACGGCCCAGACUCCUACGGGAGGCAGCAGUGGGGAAUUUUGGACAAUGGGCGCAAGCCUGAUCCAGCAAUGCCGCGUGCAGGAAGAAGGCCUUCGGGUUGUAGACUGCUUUUGUACGGAACGAAACGGUCCUGGUUAAUACCUGGGGCUAAUGACGGUACCGUAAGAAUAAGCACCGGCUAACUACGUGCCAGCCGCCGCAGUAACAC
rnacentral:rRNA from 1 species